rnacentral:pre_miRNA from 1 species
AACACCCAGGGAACUUAUUAAAAUGCAGCUUCUGAUGCAGGAGGCUUGGGGAGUGGCCAGAGAUCCUGCAUUUCUAACAAGCUCCCAGGUGAGGCUCA